CAAGCCUAGCUCAGAAGGCAUUGCAUAUUUUCCUCUGACUCACACACUCUGCCAUUACCAUGAGAACAUGCCUGGGUUAGCUGCCUGCAGAGCAAAAAUAGCAAAACCAAGUCAUCUCCGUUACCCCAAUGGGGGCCAACCCAGAGUAGCCAAUAAGACACCAAUCUUUGUACAUAUGGAGAUAAUGCCCAGUGGAGAGAGAAAACCCAUGAUGUGGAUAUAUAGAAAACUAGAAAUUUGCUCCAUUUCUGAAAGCAACUAAUGAAGUCAUCUUUGGGAAGAAACAGAGCAAUGAAGAUAUUCAUCACACAAUUUGAAUGAACAGUGACUGGUGUCUGGGCUCUUCUCCAGCAUGGUUUUUCUCAAGUAGGAUUGCAGGAUCAACAGAAUGUGCCCUAAAGUUUGCUGAAGAUGACCAGUUCCAGUUCCAAAAAGUGCUUCACAUCCACUCUCAUAAGCAAAGGUGUCCAGACUAGUCCAGAGGAUGCAAACGGCAGGUGAGAUCAAAGACCCCUGAGUCUGAUGUGAAAGGUUGGAUGUGGCUGAGAAAGAAGUGUGGAAAGGGGAGUAGGUAUUUGUGAAGAGCUGCAACAGAGGAAGCAAGAAUAUUUAUGGUUGAAUUUCCCCAGAAGACAAAAAUAGGAAAAACCUAUUUUUUAAGUUGCAAAAAAAAAAAAAAAA